rnacentral:rRNA from 1 species
UACGGGGGGGGCAAGCGUUGUUCGGAAUUACUGGGCGUAAAGGGCUCGUAGGCGGCCAACUAAGUCAGACGUGAAAUCCCUCGGCUUAACCGGGGAACUGCGUCUGAUACUGGAUGGCUUGAGAUUGGGAGAGGGAUGCGGAAUUCCAGGUGUAGCGGUGAAAUGCGUAGAGAUCGGGAGGAAGGCCGGUGGCGAAGGCGGCGCUCUGGAACGUUUCUGACGCUGAGGCUCGAAAGCGUGGGGAGCAAACAGG